rnacentral:rRNA from 1 species
UACGGGGGGGGUAAGCGUUGUUCGGAAUUACUGGGCGUAAAGGGCUCGUAGGCGGCCAACUAAGUCAGACGUGAAAUCCCUCAGCUUAACUGGGAACUGCGUCUGAUACUGGAUGGCUUGGAUUCGGGAGAGGAAUGCGGAAUUCCAGGUGUAGCGGUGAAAUGCGUAGAUAUCUGGAGGAACACCGGUGGCGAAGGCGGCAUUCUGGACCGACACUGACACUGAGGAGCGAAAGCCAGGGGAGCAAACGGG